UACAGAGGUCUCAAGCGUUGUUCGGAUUCAUUGGGCGUAAAGGGUGCGUAGGCGGCGCGGUAAGUCGGGUGUGAAAUCUCGGAGCUUAACUCCGAAACUGCAUUCGAUACUGCCGUGCUUGAGGACUGGAGAGGAGACUGGAAUUUACGGUGUAGCGGUGAAAUGCGUAGAUAUCUGGAGGAACACCGGUGGCGAAGGCGGCAUCCUGGACCGGUAUUGACGGCCUGAGGCGCGAAAGCUAGGGGAGCAAACGGG
rnacentral:rRNA from 1 species